UACACAUGCAGUCGAGCGGGGAAGNNGUAGCUUGCUANNNNACCUAGCGGCGGACGGGUGAGUAAUGCUUAGGAAUCUGCCUAUUAGUGGGGGACAACAUUCCGAAAGGAAUGCUAAUACCGCAUACGCCCUACGGGGGAAAGCAGGGGAUCUUCGGACCUUGCGCUAAUAGAUGAGCCUAAGUCAGAUUAGCUAGUUGGUGGGGUAAAGGCCUACCAAGGCGACGAUCUGUAGCGGGUCUGAGAGGAUGAUCCGCCACACUGGGACUGAGACACGGCCCAGACUCCUACGGGAGGCAGCAGUGGGGAAUAUUGGACAAUGGGCGAAAGCCUGAUCCAGCCAUGCCGCGUGUGUGAAGAAGGCCUUUUGGUUGUAAAGCACUUUAAGCGAGGAGGAGGCUACUUGGAUUAAUACUCUAGGAUAGUGGACGUUACUCGCAGAAUAAGCACCGGCUAACUCUGUGCCAGCAGCCGCGGUAAUACAGAGGGUGCGAGCGUUAAUCGGAUUUACUGGGCGUAAAGCGUGCGUAGGCGGCUUUUUAAGUCGGAUGUGAAAUCCCUGAGCUUAACUUAGGAAUUGCAUUCGAUACUGGGAAGCUAGAGUAUGGGAGAGGAUGGUAGAAUUCCAGGUGUAGCGGUGAAAUGCGUAGAGAUCUGGAGGAAUACCGAUGGCGAAGGCAGCCAUCUGGCCUAAUACUGACGCUGAGGUACGAAAGCAUGGGGAGCAAACAGGAUUAGAUACCCUGGUAGUCCAUGCCGUAAACGAUGUCUACUAGCCGUUGGGGCCUUUGA
rnacentral:rRNA from 1 species